rnacentral:lncRNA from 10 species
AGAACUUCAGUGGCUGUGCCUGUGGCCUUUGACGCUCAUCCUGACUCCUGACUGAUGAAUUAUUUGGUCGACUGAGGCAGAAUCACCUUUACUGGAGCAUAAUCUGUUGGAGGCAGCAUCUCCUGAAGUCUCCAUGAGUUGCUGGAAUGAAGAUGCAAGAGGAAAUUUGGAGAUGUUGCUUGAAAGUUUAAAGUAUUGGUGUUACCGAACCAUUAGAAUAUUACAUAUGGACAACGCCCAUCCAUUAGAAUAUUACGUAUGGACAACAUGGUGGAACAUUUCGAAUAAGGUUGAUUCUUCUAUGUCUUGGUUGGAAUAAAAGGAAGAUAUGUGCAUUACUAGAAGCAACGUACAACGAGAGAGCAAAGGAAAGUAGCUCAGACCCAAGGAAGAUCAAAUUAAGG